rnacentral:sRNA from 1 species
CCAGCGACCGCUCCUCAGUGACGAGAGAGCGGGGCCGGGCGCGGCUCCGGCCUGACCUGCGAAGGGACCUCGGUCCAGUCCCCUGUUGCGCCGCGCCUCCUGUCUGUCCGUGCGCGGGCCAGUCAGGGGCCAGUGUCUCGAACGGUCGAGGUCGCAGACCUAGAGGCGCCCCACAGGCCGGCCCGGGGCGCUGGGAGCGCCGGCCGCGGGCCGGGUGGGGAUGCCCCUGCACGUGAAGUGGCCGUUCCCCGCGGUGCCGCCGCUCACCUGGACCCUGGCCAGCAGCGUCGUCAUGGGCUUGGUGGGCACCUACAGCUGCUUCUGGACCAAGUACAUGAACCACCUGACCGUGCACAACAAGGAGGUGCUGUACGAGCUCAUCGAGAACCGAGGCCCGGCCACGCCCCUCAUCACUGUGUCCAAUCACCAGUCCUGCAUGGACGACCCUCAUCUCUGGGGUACCCGGGCCAGUGUGCUGGGCAGGGGGAGGAAAGGCGAGGAUUCGGGACGGGCCCAGCCUCGUCAGAACAAACCCCUUCUCGCUGCGUUUUCAUGGAGCCCUGGCACUCCAGUUUCCGGGUGUUCUGCCCCAGGGCUGAGACUUUGAUUUGUGGCUCCUGCAGCAUCCCUGAGGGAGCAUGAUUUGGAGAGGGCCUUGGGCAUGGAGCAGGACCAAGGAACGGCCACAGGGCAGAUCUUACAGCUCCUUUAACGUCAGGCCUCCAGAACCCUCUAUUCUUUAAACCAUCCAGGGCCCCACAGUCUUGGGAAAAAUUUGGGGGUUGGACAUAGGAUAUCCUGUGAAGAAGUUCUGGGCCAGGGACUGGAAGCCCAGUGUCCUGGCUUCAGGUUUGCCCCUGGCUGGGCGUGUACCCUUCAGCCCUAUUUGGGAGCCUGGUUGCCACACCUAGAGGUUCCUGCUUUGCU